AUUGAACGCUGGCGGCAUGCCUUACACAUGCAAGUCGAACGGCAGCACGGGAGCAAUCCUGGUGGCGAGUGGCGAACGGGUGAGUAAUAUAUCGGAACGUGCCCGGUCGUGGGGGAUAACGUAGCGAAAGUUACGCUAAUACCGCAUACGAUCUAAGGAUGAAAGCGGGGGAUCGCAAGACCUCGCGCGAUUGGAGCGGCCGAUAUCAGAUUAGGUAGUUGGUGAGGUAAAGGCUCACCAAGCCGACGAUCUGUAGCUGGUCUGAGAGGACGACCAGCCACACUGGGACUGAGACACGGACCAGACUCCUACGGGAGGCAGCAGUGGGGAAUAUUGGACAAUGGGCGAAAGCCUGAUCCAGCAAUGCCGCGUGAGUGAUGAAGGCCUUAGGGUUGUAAAGCUCUUUUUACCCGAGAUGAUAAUGACAGUAUCGGGAGAAUAAGCUCCGGCUAACUCCGUGCCAGCAGCCGCGGU
rnacentral:rRNA from 1 species